GGACGCCAGUUCUAGCCGGGAACAUGGCCUUGUCCUGCUCGAGGAGGAGGGACGCACCUAGGCACCGGCCCUGUCCCGCAACAAGGGGUCUUCUCCUCUGCUUCCAAGGCAACCAAGCUGCCCUGCCUGAGCUCGAUGAUUCAAGCCCGGCCACGACCACGCACCGCUCCCAGCAGGGUGACAGGAAGCCAUGUUGCCAUUUUGUUUGUUCCCAGCCCCGACUGGUCGUCCGGCGAAUCCGUCAUGUUGUCAUUUUCUUGUAAAGUAGUACUGUAUCACACUUGUAGAGCUCGUUACACUUGUAGAGCUUGUAAAGUACUGUAUUACACAUGGUCAUAUGUAUUGGCAUGGAUAGAGCUUGUUACUGUUGUUGCCAAUGUAUUAUGUGAUCUGGUUGCUCUUAUUUGAA